AUAGGAACAGGCCCAUAGUGUUAGAUCCAGCGCUCAGAAGGGAGCUUGCUCCCGGAUGUUAGCGGCGGACGGGUGAGUAACACGUGGGUAACCUGCCUGUAAGACUGGGAUAACUCCGGGAAACCGGAGCUAAUACCGGAUAGUUCCUUGAACCGCAUGGUUCAAGGAUGAAAGACGGUUUCGGCUGUCACUUACGAUGGACCCGCGGCGCAUUAGCUAGUUGGUGGGGUAAUGGCUCACCAAUGCGACAUGCGUAGCCAACCUGAGAGGGUGAUCGGCCACACUGGGACUGAGACACGGCCCAGACUCCUACGGGAGGCAGCAGUAGGGAAUCUUCCGCAAUGGACGAAAGUCUGACGGAGCAACGCCGCGUGAGUGAUGAAGGUUUUCGGACCGUAAAGCUCUGUUGUUAGGGAAGAACAAGUGCAAGAGUAACUGCUCGCACCUUGACGGUACCUAAUCAGAAAGCCACGGCUAACUACAUGCCGGCAGCCGCGGGGGUAGGUAGGUGGCCCCCGUUGUCCGGACUUAGUGGGCGUAAAGGGCUCGCAGGCGAUUUCUUAAGUCUGAUGUUAAACCCGCAGCUCAGCGUGGGAGGGUCAUUGGAAGCUGGGAAACUUGGGUGCAGAAGAGAAGAAUGCAUUCACCAUGUGGGCUUGCGUGUGGACAGCG
rnacentral:rRNA from 1 species